CGGCGAGGCCCGGGGCCUGGCUCCGCCCCCUGAGCCCACCCGCUCCCCGACUCCCGCGGUGGCCCGGGCGCCUGGUGCACAGAGACCGGGGGCGGCGGGGCGGGGUGCGAGGAGCAGCCCGGCGGGGUCGGGAAGGACUUUCCCAGGCUGGCAGGGACCUCGCGGGGAGGGGCGGGGUUCGCCUCCCUGGGCGGCCGGUGGGUGACUUGCCCGGGGCAGCUGGCAGGACUAGUCCGCCAGCAGCCGCCUGGCAUUGUGGCCCUCAGGCCCGGGCGCAGUAUUCGAGCAGCACUGGCCCCGGGACCCACUAGAGCCUCUGCCUGAGAGUCCCUGGUUUCUGCAGCCGAGCAUCCCAUUAGCGCUUGGCCACAGCGUCAGGCGCCGAGCUGAUGUUCAGCUGAUUAUCCACCAUGACCCCCAAAUCUUUUUCAGAGUCACUGCUCCUGGAGGGUGGGGCCAUCAGUGGCUAUUAGCCAGGAUGGGCAGGGAUGAUGCCUCUAGCUUUCACUCCAUGCAUCCGAAGAAAUGGGGGUUUUACCUACGAAAGCUUAUGCUCAAAUAAAUCUCAGGUUUCAGGGUAGCAGCCGUGUUAGUCUGUGCCACAAGUCCUCCUUUUCAAAUAAAUCUGUUAGGUUUUAAAGUGCCACCGGACUCCUUGUUGUUUUUGUGGAUACAGACUAACACGGCUACCCCCUGAUACUUGCUCCCAAGCCUCUGUUUGCCAGAAGCUGAGAAUGGGCAACAGGGGAUGGAUCUCUUGAUGAUUCCCUGUUCUGUUCAUUACCUCUGUGGCACCUGGCAUUGGCACUGUCGGAAAACAGGAUACUGGGCUUAAUGGACCUUUGGUCUGCUCUUUUGUUCUUAUGCUUUUCAGCAUAGAGGUUCCCCAUCCUGUAAGUAUAGCCACCAUUUUUUGUUCCUAGAUAUAUAUAUUUACAUUUAGUUGUAUUAAAACACAUGCUUGUGCUCAGUUUACCAGGCGAUCUAGAUUGCUCUGAAUCAGUGACCUUUCCUCUUCACUACUACCCCAAUUUUUGUGCCAUUUGCAAACUAUCAGUAAUUUAGGUUUGGUUGCUUUGGUCUUGGUUUUGAUUGUUCAACAAACAAAAAAUGAUAAUUUUUCAACAUUCAUUAAAUGAACCCAAAAAAAGACAGAAGAAAAGAAACAAAACCUACUAAAAACAGAAACAGCAGGAAUUGGACUACAUAAUAAGAAUUUAAUGUCAGCUUCUGGAAGAUUGAUUAGGAUAGACUGAGUACAAGAUGUCAGUUACAGUAACCAUCACAGUACUCUAAAAAAGGGACAGGUCUUUCUAACCUGUUGCAGCAGAAGACAUCAGAAGAACUCUUAAGACUGUGUAUUUAUCAGACUUCAGCUUCUAAUUUCUCUGAGUACAAUGCCAAGAUCCACUCCUCAUAUGUCUCUUUUCUGUGGAUUUCCUAAGGAGUUAGAAGUUUAGGGGAAAGUUCUGAAUUGGGAAACAUGUCUGCAAAUGAAUCACCUCAUCUAAUGCAAUGCUACAGUGCUAAAAUGUUUUUGGCAUCUAUGUCACCUCUCAAACAUUACUUCACCAUACUCUAGUGGAGACACUGACCGUGAGAUCACACACAACACUCGUAUACCAUGCAGCAGGUGCAGUGAAAUCACUCCUAAUCUUCAGCACUUCAGUACAGGUCAGAUGUGAUAUCUCUACUGCCUCAGGAUAAUGAAGAGCCUCAAGCCAGACAGUAAUACCAGCCGACAAAUAUAUUUCUCAAGAAUAACAAGAUUACUGAAAAUUAAGAUGUAUUUGCCCUUCCUUUGGAAUUGCCUUCACUCAGUAGGUGGAGACUCAGCUUAGUCCCUCCAGCAGGGCAUUCAGUGGUUCUGCAAUGGCAGAGGACUUCAGGGCAAAAUACAGCUGCUGCCUUGUUACUUUGAGGGGCUCAUACUCCACAUAUGUGGAAUGCCUGAGCCAGAUAAGGAGGAGAAAGAAGACUCAGGUUGACAUGUUCAAUGAGAUCCUGCAAGCCAGCGCUGCAUCAGUCUGUGAGCAAAGGGCCUGGAGCAUGAACAUUGCUGACAGCUGGAGAAGAAAAGAGCAGAGAGGAGAAAGGGUCAGGAAUCCUGUCAGGAAAAGGAGAUGGAGAUCCACCAGGACAUAAUGGGGCUUCUCUGGCAGUAUACACAGAUGCUUCAGAUUCUUGCAGCUUCAACAAUCACAGGCUCCCCUCCCUUUGCAGUCCAUGGAUAACUUCAGCAUAGCACCUCCUGAACCCCACCCCACCGCCCUAAAUAUUCCACAUGGCAUCAGAAGGCACAUCCCUACCUCUACCACUCCACCCUAAGGAACAUUAAGGACAACCACAGCUUCACAUACACUGACCUGUGAAAGCCACAGUUCCUGCGUGUGUAGGUAAAAUGGACAUGAAUGUUCUUUCCCCAUGUUAAGUUCUGUUCCAUUAAUGUAUUAAGUUUUUAAUGCAUUUGCUUUUAAAUUGCACAAAUUUUUAUUUGCACUGAUUUUGUUACUGAAUAAAAUUCUAUUACUUGGAAAAUAAUUCAUCUUCAUUAGUUCACAGCAUAUUCUGUAGAGGGCCUAGCAGCAGUGAGAGCACCCACUUACUUGUUAUUGUACGGGGUGACAACACAUAGGAUCAGUGAUAAAAAACAAUAUAAUAAUUAUAAAUGUACAGCAAGCACCACAAAAUUAGUAGGUACAGUGUCAGUGUUAUAUUCAUAGAUGUACACCAAUUCCCAACAGGCCCCAAAACAGCCGGGCCAGGUACAGCAAUGCAUUAAGGUGGCUCACUGUUAAAGUGCUUUUUCAAAGCCGCCCUAAGCCGUAUAGAUUCAUGUGGAGCUUUUCAAAUAGCCCUGUGCCUGGCUGUUCAAACUCAGCAAACACCUGCUCCACCUCCAUUUCCCCCUUUGAAACACAGAUAUUAUGCAGGACACAGCAGGCAGCUAUAACCAUUUGGACAUUUUUCUCACUGAGAUCCAAUCUUCUGAGUAAACAAUGCCAGUGUCUCUUCACUCUACCAAAAGCACAUUCAACUGUCAUUCUGCACCUGCUGAGCUGGUAGUUGAUUCUUUCCUUGGUGCUGUCAAGGAGGCCAGUGUACGGCUUCAUGAGCCAGGGAAGCAAGGGCUAAGCUGGGUCCUCUAGGAUCACUGUUGGCAUUUCAGCAUUGCCAAUGGUAAUUCACCAGUCAGGAAACAAAUUCCCAGCUUGUAGCUUUCUAAACACUUCUGUGUUCUUAAAGAUGUGAACUUCAUGCACCUUCCCCAACCAGCCGACACUGAUGUUAGUGAAGCAUCCCCAAUGAUCCACCAUUGCUAGUAUAACCAUGGAAAAGUAGCCCUUUCUGGUAAUGAGCUCUGUGGCAAGGUGGUAUGGUGACAAAAUUGGGAUAUGCAUGCUCUCUAUUGCUCCAUCAGUGUGGGAACCCCAUUGUUGCAAAUCCAUCCACUAUGUCCUGCAUAUUGCAGGCUCCAUGCUUGUGUCAGAGAUGGCAGCAGGUUUAAAACAAACAAAAGGAAGUAUUUCUUCACACAACACACUGUCAACCUAUGGAACUCUUUGCCAGAGGCUAUUGUGAAGGCCAAGACUAACGGGGUCAAAAAAGAACUAGAUAAAUUCAUGGAGGAUAGAUCCAUCAAUUGCUAUUAGCUAGGAUGGGCAGGGAUGGUGUCUCUAGCCUUUGCCAGAAGUUGGGAAUGGGCGACAGGGGAUGGAUCACUUGAUGAUUACCUGUUCUAGUCAUUCCCUCUUGGGCACCUGGCAUUGGUCACUGUCAGAAGACAGGAUACUGAGUUAGAUGGACCUUUGGUCGGACCCAGUCUGGCCUUUCUUAUGUUCUUAUGGCAGACAAUGAGGAGGGCCGGACAGAUUCAUGGGAUUUUUAAAAAGGUGCAAAAAUUAUGGGAUAUAGGUGACUUAUGGGAUGGAGACAUUUGCACACUGAGAAAUUAAUCCCUUGUUCCCAGUCACUCCUGUGUGAGUCAUUUCUGCCCCAGUAUGCAUGACCAAAUCUUCACAAAAGAGAGUGCACUGGAUGGUGGCAGGUUGCCCACUGGGAUACUUACCCAUUGUGCAACACACUGUGCAUGGACACAAGCACUCCUGGUGAGUACGCAUUGUGCUGAUGCAAGGAGCCAAGUAUGCAUGCACACAACUGCAGCGGCUUUUAUGCUGACAUAACUUGUGUCAACCAAAGUUUGUAGUGUAGACAUGGCCAUAGACACACUAACAACUAGGUCGACACAAGGCGAUGUACAUUGGUCUACAUUACAAAGUUAGAUCAGCCCUAAGGGGAAAAAAAAGAUUACAGGAUAUUUGACAGUUUUUCAAAGAGACAUUACUAACAGCAUGAGAGCAAACUAUCCCAAUGCAUAGGAAAGAUAGGAAGUAUGGUAAGAGACCACCCUGGCUUAACCAGGAGAUCUUCAGUAACCUGAAACUCAAAAAAGAACAAUCAUUAAAAUGUGGAAACUAAGGUCAAAUUAUGAAGGGAUGAAUCAAAAAUGAAAACAUAAGAAAUUAAAAAGGUUGUCAUCAAUAUAAAGGGAAGGGUAACCACCUUUCUGUAUACAGAACUAUAAAUCCCUUCUGGCCAGAAGCAAAACCCUUUUACCUGUAAAGGGUUAAGAAGCUAAGAUAACCUCGCUGGCACUGACCAAAAUGACCAAUGAGGAGACAAGAUACUUUCAAAGCUGGAGGGUCGGGGGGGAAACAAAGGCUCUGUCUGUCUGUGUGAUGCUUUUGCCGGGAACAGAUCAGGAAUGCUCUUCAGAACUUCUGUUAAGUUAGUAAGUAAUCUAGCUAAAAAUGCGUUACAUUUCCUUUUGUUUAAUGGCUGGUAAAACAGGUUGUGCUGAAUGGAAUGUAUAUUCCUGUUUUUGUGUCUUUUUGUAACUUAAGGUUUUGCCUAGAGGGAUUCUCUAUGUUUUGAAUCUGAUUACCCUGUGAGGUAUUUACCAUCCUGAUUUUACAGAGGUGAUUCUUUUACUUUUUCUUUAAUUAAAAUUGUUCUUUUAAGAA